UACGUAGGGUGCGAGCGUUAAUCGGAAUUACUGGGCGUAAAGCGUGCGCAGGCGGUUGUGCAAGACAGGUGUGAAAUCCCCAGGCUCAACUUGGGAACUGCGUCUGAUACUGGAUGGCUUGAAUUCGGGAGAGGGAUGCAGAAUUCCAGGUGUAGCGGUGAAAUGCGUAGAUAUCUGGAGGAAUACCGGCGGCGAAGGCGGCAUCCUGGACCGAUAUUGACACUGAGGAGCGAAAGCCAGGGGAGCAAACGGG
rnacentral:rRNA from 1 species